rnacentral:tRNA from 1 species
UAUAGAGUGGUGUAUGAGGUGCACGAAAGGUUUUGAUCCUUUAAGAGUUAGUUUAUUUCUAUCCUUUGUAA